rnacentral:piRNA from 1 species
UAGCUAACCCACUCCCGAGAUAAUAUUAAUG